rnacentral:misc_RNA from 1 species
CAGGGGGACAUAUUCUCAGUGAGUUCACCAUUAGAGUAAAUGCAAAAUGGCAGCCAAUCUUCUCCUCCAUUCAUUCUUCUUUUCCUCUCUCUUGGAUACGCUAAUGGCGCCUGCACAUACCUGAUACCAUCAAGCAGGAUAUCCCAGCAGAAAUGGGUGUGACCAAAAAUAUGACAAGCGUUUGUGCUCCCUCUAUCUCCAUGUAUG